UACGUAGGGGGCAAGCGUUGUCCGGAAUCAUUGGGCGUAAAGCGCGUGUAGGCGGCUCGAUAAGUCUGCUGUGAAAGUCAGGGCUCAACCCUGGAAUGCCGGUGGAUACUGUCGAGGCUGAGCCGGAAGAGGCGAGUGGAAUUCCUGGUGUAGCGGUGAAAUGCGCAGAUAUCAGGAGGAACACCAAUGGCGAAGGCAGCUCGCUGGGACGUAACUGACGCUGGAGACGCGAAAGCGUGGGGAGCAAACAGGAUUAGAACC
rnacentral:rRNA from 1 species